UCCCAGAGUUCUCCCUCCACCCGGCCCCGGUCGGCCGGGACCAGGGAGGCCCCUCGUCAGGACCACAUUUCAAACGGCACAACUGAACGCGGCGAAGAGAGCGCGUCCCGGCCUCCUCCCCCUACACCCUAGACACCUCAGAGCCGCGGCUGCCAGGAGUAACUACCUUUCAGGCCUCCGCGGCCUCUCCUACUCCGGCAGCGCUCGGCCUGGGGGUAGUGGGGGAAACGACCCCGGCGGCGCGGAACCCACCGCGCUGCUCGGGCGCCAUCUCGCGUCCGUGCCUUUGGCCGCCGGGUGGCAGCCCGGAAACUACGAUUCCCACCGUGCCUAGCGCGUCCGCGCAGGCGCGAAGAGCCUCUCUCGUUUCCAUGGGAACCUCGCCCUCUAGGGUCCCAGGUGCUUGACUUCUGCGGGGCGCUUGCUUGGCUGUUGUUCCCCCUCAGGUGCCCUCGCGCUAGGCUGGGUCUGCGGACAGCCGAGGGGGCAGAAUAGGGGGCUCGAGGGGAGGAGGCCAGGCGGCUCUGCCUCCCGGGACCAGCGCUGCCAAGUUCUCGGCGUCCGGCGGUCCGCGCGCUUCCUGGGCCUCGGAGUUUGAGGCGGAGGGGCCCGGGGAGGCCCGGGUUGGCGAGGCCAGCGUCCGUCCGGCUCUGACCCGCGCAGCCCGCCUCGCUCCGCGCCAGCGCCCUGUCCCCGGCCGAAAGCCUGCGCGCCGCAGACAGAUGGGGGAUGGCGCCGGACUUCUGGAGGGACCCAGAACCGGCUGUCUUUCAUCUUCCCGGCAGCCUGCACGUCCACUCUGGAGUCCUGCUCUUCCAGUUUGCUCCCACUCCACUGGCUGCGGGUAAGUGCCCACUGGGCAUCGGGAUUCCCGAGUAGCCAAGUGCCACGCGAAGCUUUGGCAACUCCAGGCCUGGCGUUUGAGAGGAGGUCACCACAGCCGAGUGCCUGCCCCGGAGGCCUACGUCAGCCUGCUUCAGGGGCGUGCCGGUCCUUUACAAUUCACAA
rnacentral:lncRNA from 1 species